UCGUUGUCCACGCGUAGUCGCUGGCUGACGGGGACGCCCCCACAGCGAUUCAGGUCAUGCUUGUCAACAAGCAGACCCCCGGGUCCUGUUCGCUGCCACGUUCCACACGUUCGAGACCAAGGGCGCUCGCUUCGCCAUCAUGCAGGACAUGCCCAUCUCGAAGCCACUGUCAUGCUCCCCUCCGCUCUGUGUCACCCUCUCCAAGAACUGCUCCCCCAACAACCACACUGUGGCAGGUAUGACCCGCCCCCUCUCUUUUCUUUCCCUGGCUGUUUUCUGCUUUAAUGGAUUGAUAUCUUGGAUGGAACCGCCGCUAGUUUAGUGAUUGGGGUUUCUGUUGGCCGGUAAGAUAAAAGGUUAGAAAUUGGGGGUUUUGUUGUAGAACAACAGGCCAACAGAUUAGGUUCUGUUGUGCAACACCACGCCAGCAAAUUAGGUUUCCUUAUUCCAGUUUAGUGAUUGCUAGGCAAGCAACUUUGAAAGCCUUUCCGGGAGGUACCGACUGUCGUUAUCGAUUUUUUGCGUCGCUUUUCUUCAAAAUCGCAGCAAGAUUUUGCCAAAUUGAGCUUGCAGUAACAUAAUUCUUUGAUUUCCUUAUAAGGAACUACUGCUGCUGUAUUGUCAAUAGGAAGCGAGGGUUCAC
rnacentral:lncRNA from 1 species